GAUAUGGCUCAGGACGAACGCUGGCGGCGUGCUUAACACAUGCAAGUCGAACGAAGAGCGAUGGAAGCUUGCUUCUAUCAAUCUUAGUGGCGAACGGGUGAGUAACGCGUAAUCAACCUGCCCUUCAGAGGGGGACGAACAGUUGGAAACGACUGCUAAUACCGCAUACGAUCUGACCUCGGCAUCGAGGAUGGAUGAAAGGUGGCCUCUAUUUAUAAGCUAUC
rnacentral:rRNA from 1 species